rnacentral:rRNA from 1 species
CCUACGGGGGGCUGCAGUGAGGAAUAUUGGUCAAUGGGCGUAAGCCUGAACCAGCCAUCCCGCGUGAAGGAAGAAGGCGCUAUGCGUCGUAAACUUCUUUUCCAGAGGAAUAAAAUUUCGUACGUGUACGGAACUGAAGGUACUUUGGGAAUAAGCAUCGGCUAACUCCGUGCCAGCAGCCGCGGUAAUACGGAGGAUGCGAGCGUUAUCGGGAUUUAUUGGGUUGUAGGCGGAUUUAGACGUAUUAAUAGAAAACCUUAAGCUUAACUGGGGAACUGCCGUUGAUACUGUUAGUCUUGAGUACGGUAAAGGUAGGCGGAAUGUGUAAUGUAGCGGUGAAAUGCUUAGAUAUUACACAGAACACCGAUUGCGAAGGCAGCUUACUGGGCCAUUACUGACGCUGAUGCACGAAAGCGUGGGGAGCGAACAGGAUUAGAUACCCUGGUAGUC